rnacentral:rRNA from 1 species
UAGGGGGCAAGCGUUAUCCGGAUUUACUGGGUGUAAAGGGAGCGUAGACGGCGAAGCAAGUCUGGAGUGAAAGCCCGGGGCCCAACCCCGGGACUGCUCUGGAAACUGCGGCGCUGGAGUGCAGGAGGGGUAAGCGGAAUUCCUGGUGUAGCGGUGAAAUGCGUAGAUAUCAGGAGGAACACCGGUGGCGAAGGCGGCUUACUGGACUGCAACUGACGUUGAGGCUCGAAGGCGUGGGGAGCAAA